AUAUAAGCAAAAAUUACUUUUUAGGUUCAUUCAUUUAAUGAUGUAUGCGAUCCAUAUUACGAACCACAUACAUCAUUAAAUGAAUGAACCUAAAAAGUCAAUUUUGCUUAUAU
rfam:Medicago truncatula strain A17 chromosome 3, whole genome shotgun sequence.